ensembl:lncRNA
AUGGUGGCCACAUGCUCAAGAGAACUGUCUUUAGGCUGCAGAACAAAAUACGUUGCUAUUGACAGUAUCAGGCAGGAUGGAUUAGCCCCCAGACCCCUAGAUGAUGUGUGGGAGCACUGGCAGGUUGGAUGGGCCCCUCUUCAGAUUCCCUGGAGGUAUGCGCAGGCAUCAAUGACAUGGGCAGAGCAAAAUGAUCCUCAGGCCCCAACUGACACAUGUGCACUGGCAGGUGCAGCACCAGCUGGGAUGGGCCUAUCCGCAAACUCACUCAUGAUGCACAUGGGUGCAUAUUGUGAAUUUCUGUGUUGCGAGGAGAGGGACUCAAGAUGGCGCUGUGAGAACAACCCAGGAUUGGAGCUCUUCUCGUUGAAUCCGCAAAUGGUGAGUCAGAGCGGCAUUUCCAGACUGAUCUUUGUUGCCCACAGAACGGGGAAACUCCCAAGUAUAAAAAAGACACGGGACGCCAGGCAGUAGGUCUGCCUGGCGAAGCCGGCAGCCGGGGCGGCGGCGGCCGGCCCUACCCAGCAAUCCCCACAGGGCGCGCUUGUCCGGGUGCCCUGUUGAACCGGCAACCUGAGACUUGAGAGGGCUGGACUUGAGACUGAACGAGACUUGGACAGUAGCCCAGCCCAGGGGAUUCCAGGGAUUGGGAUACCCAGUGGGACGAACAAAACCGCGAUUUCAAACUAUCCCGAGCAGACGGUCCGAGACGCUCUGUGGGGGAGGGGCGUCCACCACUACCGAGGCAACCCGCCCCAACUGAGAUACACGCCCACUGCUGACGCAGCCAGCCGUUGCCGAGGCAACCCGCCCCAACUGAGAUACACGCCCACUGCUGACGCAGCCAGCCGUUGCUGAGGCAACCCGCCCCAACUGAGAUACACGCCCAUUGCUGACGCAGCCAGUCGUUGCCGAGGCAACCCGUCCCUACUGAGAUACACGCCCACUGCUGACGCAGCCUGCCGUUGCUGAGGCAACACGCUACAACGAAGAGACUCUGCCGCAGGGCGUGGCGGAGACCACAGCACAGCCGGCAGGAACAGCGUGAAUCACACAACAGCAGGGCGGAGCCUCGGCAGCCAAACAGUGGCUAGUCUGCCUUCUAGCUAGGCAGGACACCUGAUCGGACAUCCAAAAAUAAAGCCCAAACCCCUCAACACAGAGCAUUUUAUAAAAAAAAAAAAAAAAAAAAGGGUUUUUUAAUGAGCUCUGUUGCAGCAGAAUAAAACACAGCAGCCUAACAGCCCUGAAUGAACAACAGAGUGCACAGCUCAGCAAUUAAACCCCUAUAAAGUACAAACUGUCUCCUGAAGCAGCUCCCUGACCCCUCUAUAUCCAAAAGACUGACAUUAGGCAGGCAUCAUCCUGGGACAAAGAGAGCAGAAAAAGAAACUGGUAGCAUCCCUCACUGUGCCACAGCUACUAGAGGUGCACCCCAGACAAGCAGGGUCUGGAGCGGACCUCAGCAGUGGUACAGCGAAGGGGCCAGACUGGUAGAAGGAAAACCAAGCAACAGAAAUACUUCAUCAUCAACAUUCUGGGUGUCCACUCAGAGACCCAAUCGAAAAGUCAGCAACUACGCAGACGAC